CCAACAGGGAUUGCCCUAGUAACGGCGAGUGAAGCGGCAACAGCUCAAAUUUGAAAUCUGGCUUUCGGGCCCGAGUUGUAAUUUGUAGAGGAUGAUUUUGAUGCGGUGCCUUCCGAGUUCCCUGGAACGGGACGCCAUAGAGGGUGAGAGCCCCGUCUGGUUGGAUGCCAAAUCUCUGUAAAUCUCCUUCGACGAGUCGAGUAGUUUGGGAAUGCUGCUCUAAAUGGGAGGUAUAUGUCUUCUAAAG
rnacentral:ncRNA from 1 species